CUGGACCCUGUUCCUCCGGCAACGGCAUCAAUCUUACCACCAACCUUGGCUCUUUGAGGGGCUUGGUAUAUUAAUAUCACUGGCAUCAGUGGGAAUAUGUGGGAGAAAUGGAAGCAGUACUGGUAGAGAAAGAAGGAGAAGUGGCAGGAUUGAGGUGCAUGGCAGGCAUUCAUGGUGUCUUUCAUGUAGUUUAUAAAGUAGUUUAUAAAGUAGCAGAAAGAUAAAGAAAUGACAGUUACAACAUGGUAACAUAAAAAUUAGUAAAAUGUGACAUAAAUUAGAUAUUAAUUUUGGUUUGGCAUAGCAGAAUGCUCUGUCUGCAUAAUUUUAUUAGAUCUUCAUUACAAUACCACACCCUCAGAUGAGGACAAAUAAAGCCCCAACCUCUGGCCUUACAUCUUAAGGUGUGUUUUCUCAAAAUUUUCUGGGUUCCACUUUGGUGGUGGGAAUGGCUGGAGCCAGCAGUACCACGUGGCCGGGGAGCCCUGAGCUGGUCCUGUGCCCAUAUGGACUCCGCUUUCUAUUUCACCCCUUCAUGGUUCUUUCUUACCCUCUUCCUUGCAUGUCGGGCCCACUCGAUGCCCCAAAGAACUCCAGGACUUCUGCUCACAAAUGAAGUUGUCCUGAGGUCCUGUGGCUGAACCCUGGAUCCAGAAAGACAGCCUUGGAAACAAAUUACUACUCCUGUAGCCAGUACCUUACAAUUACGUAUUUUUGAAUGAUUUUAUCGGAUUUGAUUGCCAAAGAAUCUUGCAAAAACAAUUUUUUCCCCAAGCUACACACCUUAUGGUUGGUUGUGUUAUUUAUGUUCCCAUUUUAGAUGAGAGGACCAAUAUCCUAGAUUAAAAAUGUCAAAUCCAAGAUUACACAAACAGUGAAAAUUGAAUCCCAGGUUUUUCAAAAGACACUCUGAUUUUAGAUCUUAAGCCUAUUAUUCUAUCCAAAGGCUCAGAGAAGACAUGCUCUGAACAUACUCAAAGUAACUGACACUGGAAAAGGUAACAGAGGUGUGAAAAUCUUACCAUAGUAGAUGUGUGAGUGGGCUGGGGGCAGGUGAAUUCCAGAGAAAUGUGGCACUAAAUGUCAUGAAGCUGACUCUGUAUUAUACCAGAGUGGCCUCCAGAUUGCUUUCACAACUGGGUAGUUCAUCAGCUAAUGUGAUUCUCCAAACUUUAAAUGAUUAGAAAACUGGGGAAAAAUGUAGAAAACCAGAGGAAAACACUCCUUCUAAUCCAAAUAUAAAUUCUUCACUUCUUUUCAAUGUUCUUCCAGGAGAAGGAUUCGUUGGGCUCUUUGCCUUCUGCUUUUAUUUCUGUGCAAGGGUUUAUGCAAGAGGUACUUGAGAAUGCUGUACUGUAGAGCUUUGUUUCUCAUGGGAACACACGGGGAAGUGGAAAACCC
rnacentral:lncRNA from 1 species